UGGUGGAGUGAUUUGUCUGGUUAAUUUCGAUAACGAGCGAGACCUCAGCAUACUAAUUAGAUAUGAGAAUCUCUCAUGAUUCUUCAUUCCAAAUAUCUUCUUAGAGGGACUAUCGGUGCGUAGCCGAUGGAAGGUUGAGGCAAUAACA
rnacentral:rRNA from 1 species